rnacentral:tRNA from 1 species
GGCCAGUUAGCUCAGUCAGUUGAGCGCAGUGCUAACAAAGCUAAGGUCACGGGUCCGAUUCCCGUUCGGCCCC